AGAAGAUCGUGGAAGAAGGGUGGCUGCUACUGCGAAAAGUUUGUCUUCGCUGCCUCAGAAAGACAGUAAGAAAUUCGGUACUACUUAGUGCACCUAACGCAAGCUUGUAUACAUGAAUCUCAUUGUAUCAGCUUUAAUCCAAACAUCCAUUAACCACUUCUCAACACCGUGCUUCUUGUUGACCAUCAAUGCCAGUGAGCAAAAAUAUCUGCUAUGGAUUCCUUAAGGGACAAAAAUGCUUAACAGAAUGAACUUUGGGCCGCAGCGCGAUAUGUAAGACGACUUUUUAUUGUAAGUAUUGCUCACCAUUUAAUUACAUUUUGCGAUACUGAAAGCAAAGGUAGAAUAUAUGGGAGCAAUUAAAUAUGCUGUUUAUAUUAGGCUGUUACUCGAGGCUUGUCUGUUGUGGCAAUCCUUAAGAAAAUUCUUGAAAAGUUGUUGUAAGUUUCAUUGCCUGUAACAGAAUGGCAUUAGAGUUAAGGAAUUGAUGUGUAAAAUAUAUAACAAACCAUGGAGUUGUUGAUUAUAGUUCACUUGUAGAAUGUUUGGGCAAGUUCUGUAUGGAGGGCGUUGGUGUUUCAAAGCAGUAGAGUGAGAACUGAAAGGAAAGUUAUGUAUUAGGUGAUAUACGACAGUGAAAUUUAAAACGAAUAUUGUAGAUGGGAAGGUUUAAGUAGUAUGGACGUAAAGAAAUUAAAGGAUGGUAAUAAAAAUGUUAGGUGAUCAUUAGUAGAAAGGCUGUCAGGUAUAUAGAUUGAAGGCAUUAGGUGAUGCGUUGAGGCAUCUAUGGCGACAGAGCACGUUAUGCAUGGAGGCAAAAGAGAAGUUUUAAGAGGAUAGUGGUACCAACAUUUAUAUAGGUGUACAACAUAGGUUGUGAAUUUUGCAACAAGGAAGUGGCUGGAGGCCGAGUAGAUAUCUGAGGGUAGUGUGUCCUGUAAAUAUGCAGAGUAUGGAGGAAGUAAAUGUUUUCAGAUAGUUUGAAGUGGAUAUAUCGGCAGAUAUGUCUAUGAAGACUAGGUGAACCAUAGAAUUGAUGAAGGGAAAAAAAGAUAGGUGGUGUGUUCCGGCAUCUGUGGAGACAGCACGUUAUACAUGGAGGCAAAAAGGGGAAUGUUUAGUUAAUAGUUGUACCAACUCACUAAUAUGGGGGCAAAGUAUAGGCUGUGAAAUUUGCAGCUCGGAAGAGACUUGAGAUAUUAUGGAGGAAGUGUCUGUGUUCCUAUUUGGGAAUGGACUUGUCAGCAGAUGGGUCUGAAGGCCGAGGUGAACCAUAGAAUUCAUGAGGGGGAAAAGGUGCGUAGUGCAUUGAGGCAUCUGUGGAGACCACGUUAUGCAUAGAGGCAAAAGAGAAGCUUUAGAGAAUAGUGGUACCAUCAUUUAUAUAGGUGUGAAGCAUAGAAUGUGAAUUUUGCAUCGAGGAAGAUGGUUGUGGCCGUGGAAAUACCUGAGAGCAGUGUGUCUUCUAAAUAUUUCGAGUAUGGAGGAAGUAAAUGUUUUCAGAUAUUUAGGAGUAGACAUAUCGACGGAUGUCUACAAAAAAUGAGGUGAACCAUAGAAUUGAUGAAGAGAGAAGAGGUGGGUGAAGCAAUCUGGCAUCUGUGGAGACAGGCAAAAAGGGGAAUGUUUAGUUAAUAGUUCUACCAACACUUAUAUGGAUGCGAAGCAUAGGCUGUGAAUUUUGCGGUGAGGAUGAGGCUGGAGACAAGUUAUGAUCUGAGGACAAUGUGUCCCGUUAAUAUGCAGAAUAUGGAAGAAGUGAAUGCUUUCUGACAUUUGGGAGUGGACUUGUCAGCGGAUUGGUCGAUUAAAGACGAAGUGAAGCACAAUUGAUAAGGGGUGGGGUGGGGGGUAGAAUGGAUGAUGCGUUCCGCCAUUUGUGGCGACAAAGAGGCUGAAGGUAGUGGAGAUAUCCUAGCUGAGGGCAGUGAGUCAUGUCAAUAUGCCGAGUAUGGAGGAAGUGAAUGUGUUCUCAUUUGGGAAUGGACUUAUCGGCGUAUAGAUCUAUGAAGACUAGAUGAACCAUAGAAUUGAUGAAGGGGAAAAAGGUAGGUGGUGUGUUUUGGCAUCUGUGGAGACAAGUUAUACAUGGAGGCAAAAAGGGAAAUGUUUGGUUAAUAAUUAUUACAACACUUAUAUGGUUGCGAAGCUUAGGCUGUAAAUUUUGCAGCUGAGAAGAGGCUGGAGACAGUGGGAAUAUUAUCAGAAGGCAAUAUUCCCUUUUAAUAUGCAGAGUAUGGAGAAGUGAGUGCUUUGUGAUAUUUGGGAGUGGAGUUAACGAGGUGAACCGUGGAAUUGAUGAGAAAAAAAAAGGUGGGUGCUACAUUCCAACAAGUGUGGCGACAAAGAACGUUAAUCAUAGUGCCAAAAAGGUUAAUAUUUGAGAGAAUAAUGGUACCCAACACCUUUAUAUGAAUAUGAAGCAUGGUUGUGUAUUUUACAGCACGGAAGAGGCUGGAGUCAGUGGAGAUAUAUCUGAGGGCACUGUGUCGUGUAAAUAUGCAGAAAAUUUGUAGUGUGGAGAAUAGGAGAAAGUGAGGGGUUACUAAAAGUAUUAUCGAGAGACUUGAGGUAGUUGGAGAUUUAAAGCGAAAAUAGGAUGGCUCGGAGGGUGUAUAAAUCUAGUGGAUAGGUUCGAGGGAGGGGUAAAGGAGGUUUUAAAGCGAUUGGCUUGGAUAUUCAGCAGGGGUGUGCGAGCGUGGUAGAUACUGAGUGGAGUCAAUUAGUUUUUAUAACUACGUGCUGUUGGAGUGUGGGCAAGGUAACAUGAAGGGAUGUAGAGAAACUGUCUAGCCGGACUUGAGUUCUGGAGGUGGGAAGCAGAGUGCCUGCACUCUGAUGGAGAGAUGGGGAUGUUUGUACUUUGGAAAGAUAUCUGAACUAUAGUAUCGGUGCGCCUCUGACAAGACAGUGAUUAGAGUGAUGGCGGAAGUGUUUCCUCUUUCGUGACACCCUAACGACGGAAGACGGCCGUUGUUUUUAAAAAAAGUUACAUUCCUAGGAGCGCUGAACCCAUAGGAGUCGUACAGCAAUUGGAGGAAUGGGAAGCAGUCUAAGUUGACUUAAAGGAAAGGUUCAAGUUGGAAAAAAAUAGAGAAAGGAUAUGGAAAGCACUGGUUUGGUGAUAGUUGUGGAUGAGAUGAACAAACUACCUAGUAGCGUUAUUGAAACUACAACCUUGUGUAGCUUUGAAAAAAAGAUCAGAUAAUUACAUGUGUAGAUUUCCGUUGGACUUGUCUAACUUGGGUCAGUAGGCCUGCAGCAGUGCUGUCUUAUGUUCUCAUAAAGUACUUCUCUUGAGUAUAUGGUCUUCAUCGUGGGAAUUAACUCAUUCCCAAGUGAUACCGCAAUAAAAUGGCUGUUUUUCCCCCAACGAGCGAGUUGGACUCUGUUCACACUUGCAUUUAGUAAAAGACUGUACAAGUUUUGUUAGAAGAAUUUGUGUGCACCACAGUCCUACUCAAGGAAAACGACUUUUUUCUUUCAACUUGAGAGUUGAUUAACUCUUUCUUGAAAAUGGUGCUACUCCACUUCACAUUUUCACUUAGUAAAGGCUAAUGUAUAGGUUUUGUCAACGGAGUAAUAGAUGCGACAGUUCUACUCGAGGAAAAUAACUGGUUUCAUACAAUAUGGAAGUUGGACUCUGUCUAGGGUUCUGCUCAGUCUUCGAAAAUAGUAGUAGUUCCUUUAAAGAACGGCAUUUAGUGGAGUACACUUAAUAUUAACCCAAGUUAUUAAAAUAUUUUUAUGGAAGUACUAAACCCAUAGGAAUUAUACAGCGCUUAAGGAAACGGGAGCAAUCAGGUUUGAUCCAAAGAGGUGAAGAUAGGUUUAAUUAAGAGCCGCUCAUCAGCACCUAGGAACCUCUCGAAGGUUCAGUCAUUAAAAUGGCUUUAAAAAUACAUAUAAAACUAAAGCAAAUUACUUGCUUCAUAUUUCCACUUGUUGGAUCAUAACAGUUUCAGGCAGUGGACUCUUGUUCACAUAGCCAUAUAGUGAACAAACUCAGUGGAUUAUGUCCACUUGACAACUCUUUUCUUCUCUCUUCUCUCAUCAUCAGCUUGCUUUUGAUAAUUGGUUUUUAUUGGCAGCCUAGCUUCCAUUAAAAACACUGAAUCAGAGGAACUUGCUGUUGAUGAAUCAUUUUUAGUGGUAGCUUGCUGCCACUAAAAAUAACAUUUUUAGUGGUAGCUUGCUACCACUAAAAAUACCCACCCAUUUUUAGUGGCAGCUUGCUGUCACUAAAAAUGUAA